CAGUGCCCCUGGGCCCCAGCGGCCGUGGAUCUGUGCUGCCUCUCCGAGGCUGUGUCAUCUCGAGAGUGCCACACCGACAGCCUGGUGGUGGCCGCGCCGCAAGGCCUGCGGCUUGUUUAUUCACUUGUAUGCCAUCUGGUUGCCGCCCUUGACCUUGCUGGGCAGAGGCAUAAGCUGCCCUCUGUCAACCUCUUGAGAAAUUAUUCUCAGAUAUUCUUCUUCCCAAAGCCCUGAUUCAGCAGCAGGAGGCCGCCCACGGCACGUUCCUCUCAGUCUCCAGAACAGAGAGGCUGUCAUGCAGGUGGGGAAACUGAGGCCCGGGCAGGGAGUUUGCCUGUCUUCAAACUGCAGAGCAAACCAGUCAUGAGUUCAACUUGUUCCCAACUUGAUCCCAGGAUUCUGUCAUCCCCGGGAAAACACAAACAAACAGCCUGCCCCGGUACAGAUCCCCGAAGAGCCUGUUGACCUCCCACCGCCUGUUUCCUUUGGUGGCGUCUGGCUCCUGGGCUCUCCUGCGGAUGGGGCCUGGGCCCCUCCCUGCUCAUGACGGUUUUGCCAGAUGUGAUACUGCUGGGACCGUGAAAAAGCGGAUGCCUGAUGCCCUGGAGAUGGUGACAGCAGCAGUGACACAGCCCAGAGACAGACCAGUGUCCACGGAAAUGUGUGGGGAUGGAGGAGCCACUGGCGGUCCGCAGAGGUGGGUGAGCCACGCAGAAUGUGGUGGAAGGCGAUGAUGCCAACGAACUCCCAUGAAUUCUACAGCUACAAGAAAAUGAACUCUCUGACCCCUUAGGCAUGUGAACCUCUCUCUUUGGCCACACCUGCGCCUUGGAGCCCGGCCCUAGUCAGCACCCAGACUCAGAGCCUCGGGACACCCUAAGCCACGGGUGCCCAGCCCUUGGCUUGCCCGGGCUGUGUUGAGCGAAGAGGAAUUGUCUUACGCCACAUACAAAAUAUAGAAUAUAGUUAGUGUGUCUCAGUCACAACAUUCCUUUAAAAAUAUUCUUAUUAUAACAUUAAAAUGAAAUGACACAAGCCCACAUUGAACAAUUGAAUAAGAAAACUUACGUGUCUGCUUAAUAACAAUAAAUAAAUGCCUGUCUUCACCGGCACACAUACGAG
rnacentral:lncRNA from 1 species